rnacentral:rRNA from 1 species
CAGUCGCCGCGGUAAUACAGAGGGUGCGAGCGUUAAUCGGAUUUACUGGGCGUAAAGCGUGCGUAGGCGGCUGAUUAAGUCGGAUGUGAAAUCCCUGAGCUUAACUUAGGAAUUGCAUUCGAUACUGGUCAGCUAGAGUAUGGGAGAGGAUGGUAGAAUUCCAGGUGUAGCGGUGAAAUGCGUAGAGAUCUGGAGGAAUACCGAUGGCGAAGGCAGCCAUCUGGCCUAAUACUGACGCUGAGGUACGAAAGCAUGGGGAGCAAACAGGAUUAGAUACCCGCGUAGUCCCUGUCUCUUAUAC